rnacentral:tRNA from 1 species
AGAGUAGAAGUUUUUAUAAUAUUUGACCUGCACUCAAAAGAAGGUAACAAAUUACCCUACUUUA